GCCCUCGUAGUUCAAUGGAUAGAACACCAGCCUUCUAAGUUGGUUAUGCAGGUUCGAUUCCUGCCGAGGGUACCA
rnacentral:tRNA from 2 species